rnacentral:rRNA from 1 species
AUUGAACGCUGGCGGCAUGCCUUACACAUGCAAGUCGAACGGCAGCACGGGAGCAAUCCUGGUGGCGAGUGGCGAACGGGUGAGUAAUAUAUCGGAACGUGCCCAGUCGUGGGGAUAACGUAGCGAAAGCUACGCUAAUACCGCAUACGAUCUAUGGAUGAAAGCGGGGGAUCGCAAGACCUCGCGCGAUUGGAGCGGCCGAUAUCAGAUUAGGUAGUUGGUGAGGUAAAGGACUCACCAAGCCGACGAUCUGUAGCUGGUCUGAGAGGACGACCAGCCACACUGGGACUGAAACACGGCCCAGACUCCUA